CCAGUAAUCAUAUGCUCGUUUCAAAGAUUAAGCCAUGCAAGUGUAAGUACAGCUGUAUCGAGAAACAGUGAAACCGCAAAUGGCUCAUUAAAUCGGUCACAUUUUAAUGGACCGUAAAUCCUACUUGGAUAACUGUGGUAAUUCUAGAGCUAAUACAUGCCUCGAGUCUUCUCCCUCUUCACGGGGGGAAGAAGCGCACUUAUUAGACCAAAACCGAACUUGGCCUCGUGCCUCGUUUCAGUUGCGGUGACUCUGGAUAAUUCUGGCAGAUCGCAAGGUCCUCCGUACCGGCGACGUAUCUUUCAAUUGACUGCCUUAUCAACUGGAUGGUAGGUUAAACGCCUACCAUGGUUGUAACGGGUGACGGGGAAUCAGGGUUCGAUUCCGGAGAGGGAGCCUGAGAGACGGCUACCGCAUCCAAGGAAGACAGCAGGCACGUAAAUUACCCAAUUCCGGCACGGAGAGGUAGUGACGAAAAAUAACGAUGCGGGACUCUUACGAGGCCCCGCAAUCGGAAUGGGGGUUGCUUAGACAACCUAUCCCACAAGCUAUUGGAGGGCAAGUCUGGUGCCAGCAGCCGCGGUAAUUCCAGCUCCAAUAGCGUAUAUUAAUGCUGCUGUGGUUAAAAAGCUCGUAGUUGGAAGUCAGUCAAGGCCGGGAGGUCCCGCCCAAGCGGCGGCGACCGCGCCCGAGUUGCCGAGACAUAAAGUGCCGCCGCCCCUCGAUGCCCUUCGCUGGGCGUCGUACGAUGGCGGUCGGCCCCGAGUUACUUCGAAAAAAUCGGAGUGCUCAGAGCAAGCGUAAAGUUUGGCUCGCACGAUAAAACAUGGAAUAAUGGAAUAAGACCCCCGGGUCUAUUUUGUUGGUUUUCGGACCGGAGGAGGUAAUGAUUGACGAGGACUGCCGGGGGCAUACGUAUUGCAGGGCGAGAGGUGAAAUUCGCAGACCCUUGCAAGACGACCUAGAGCGAAAGCAUUUGUCAAGAAUGUCUUUCUUAAUCAAGAACGAAAGUUAGAGGCUCGAAGGCGAUCAGAUACCGCCCUAGUUCUAACCUUAAACGAUGUCGACCAGCGAUCAGGGCUCGUUCCGUACGGAAUGACGCCUCUGGCAGCUCCCCCGGAAACGCUCGAGCGAGUGGGUUCCGGGGGAAGUAUGGUUGCAAAGCUGAAACUUAAAGGAAUUGACGGAAGGGCACCACCAGGAGUGGAGCCUGCGGCUUAAUUUGACUCAACACGGGGAACCUCACCCGGCCCGGACACUAGAAGGAUUGACAGAUUGAGAGCUCUUUCUUGAUGCAGUGGAUGGUGGUGCAUGGCCGUUCUUAGUUGGUGGAGUGAUUUGUCUGGUUAAUUCCGAUAACGAACGAGACUCGAGCCUAUUAAAUAGGCCGCGGAUAAGCAGGGUCCGCUACUGUGCUCUUCUUAGAGGGACAGACGGCUUUCAGCCGUACGAAACGGAGCAAUAACAGGUCUGUGAUGCCCUUAGAUGUCCGGGGCCGCACGCGGGCUACACUGAAGGAGUCGGUUGGCGAGUUCACCCCUGAUCCUGCGGGACUGGGUAACCCACCGAACUUCCUUCGUGAAAGGGACUGGGGCUUGAAAAGCGCCCACGAACGAGGAAUUCCCAGUAAGUACGAUUCAUCAGAUCGUACUGAUUACGUCCCUGCCCUUUGUACACACCGCCCGUCGCUACUACCGAUUGAACGCCUUAGUGAGGACUUCGGCCUGGGGCCUGGCGAGAGCCUGUCUGCUCCCGGAAAGAUGUCCGAACUUGGCCGUUUAGAGGAAGUAAAAGUCGUAACA
rnacentral:rRNA from 1 species